rnacentral:rRNA from 1 species
GAUGAACGCUGGCGGCGUGCUUAACACAUGCAAGUCGAACGAACCUUCGGGUUAGUGGCGGACGGGUGAGUAACGCGUGAGAAUCUGCCCUCAGGAGGGGGACAACAGCUGGAAACGGCUGCUAAUACCCCAUAUGCCGCGAGGUGAAAUGAAUUUCGCCUGAGGAUGAGCUCGCGUCUGAUUAGCUAGUUGGUGUAGGUAAUGGCUCACCAAGGCAUCGAUCAGUAGCUGGUCUGAGAGGAUGAUCAGCCACACUGGGACUGAGACACGGCCCAGACUCCUACGGGAGGCAGCAGUGGGGAAUUUUCCGCAAUGGGCGAAAGCCUGACGGAGCAACGCCGCGUGAGGGAUGAAGGCCUCUGGGCUGUAAACCUCUUUUAUCAAGGAAGAAGAUCUGACGGUACUUGAUGAAUAAGCCACGGCUAAUUCCGUG